UUAACACUUUGAAACGAGACUGUUGUAAUAGGAGAAAGAGGACUCAUUAAAAAACACUUUUUUUCAGAUCUAUUGAAAAUUCUAGGCUUGAUCAUCAUGCAAGAGUAUGAUAUUCAAUUCACAGGAGUGUCUCCGUUUCAGACUAUCUCAUUAAUCAGCUUCAGGAAUAAAAGAAAAUGUCUUUAUUUUUGCUGGAUAAUUGGAAGGAUGACAUCAGCCCACAUCCUGAAUCUGGGAGUGAGGAAGACAAAUCCCUGGAAUUGCUUCAGCUCACAGAGAAGGUCAACAAAACACCUGGAAUUGGAACAAACUGUCCUCGUCUUCUCACUUUAUAUUUUCUGAAGGGAAAUAGAUUUUCUCACAGGUUUUCAGAGCUUGAUCUGAUAGGAAGGGCCAGAAGACUGUGAAUCACCCUUUUUCUCUCCCAGGUGCAAAAUAUAUUGGCAGCUACUAAACAUUAAACUCUUUCUGAGAAUUUUCUUCAUGCUCUGUACUUUCAGCCCCAAGUCAGUACAUCUCAUUUAACUCUCUUGAGUUUAUCACAGUUCAGUCACACCAAUUAGGUCUUAAAUAACAGGAAACUCAAAGAGAUGGCAAUGCAGAUCAAAGGUAUUUCCCAGACUGUCAUGUGCUAGUGGGCAAGAGGUCCUUUAGUUACAGUGUCAAGGGAAAGAAUAGCCCAUAGAAAUAAUUUUCCAGCUUCCUGGUUUAUGGGAGUAAUCUACUAUGACUUCUUUUGCAGCAUCAUUACCAUUAUUCUUAUCCCCCAAGCACAUUGUGGGGCUCCCUUAGGUUCAGUAUUUCUGCUGUGGCUUGGGGCACUUUACUAGACAUAUUGCAUUUUUUUUUAAUUUAAUUUUUUUAAAAGAAGCUUUAGAUUACAAAAAUGGUUCAUCAAAAAUAUAAGGGAUUCCUACAUACCCCAGUCCCUCCCCCUUCCAUGCUUUUCCCCAUUAACAACAUCUUUCAUUAGUGUGGUACAUUUGUUAGGAUUGAUAAACACUUAUUGAAGCCUUGUUACUAACCACAGCUGAUAGUUUGUUUACAUUAUGGUUUACACUUUGCAACAUGCAAUUUUACAGGUCUUGACAAAAUGUAUAAUAGCCUAUAUCUGUCAUUGCAAUAUCAUGCCUGACAAUUCCAAUGUCCCAAAAAUGCCCCAUGUUACACCUAUUCUUCCCUCUUCCUUCCCUCAGAAGCUCUGGUGACCACUGUCUUUUUAUCAAUGUCACAAAUUCUUCCACUGCUGGAAUAAUAAUAAAUCUACUUUUGUCCAUGGUUGCAUUCCCCCCUAUGUUUGUUCAUUCCUCAGUCUUGAGGAAUUUGAGAUGGUAAUAUCCACUCUAUUUCUGAUUGAGGAGGGGCUUAGAUCACAUGGGGCAGAUGGAUGGAACUUUCUUGCUUGCAGUUUUAGAC
rnacentral:lncRNA from 1 species